rnacentral:rRNA from 1 species
UACGUAGGUGGCAAGCGUUGUCCGGAAUUAUUGGGCGUAAAGCGCGCGCAGGCGGUCCUUUAAGUCUGAUGUGAAAGCCCACGGCUCAACCGUGGAGGGUCAUUGGAAACUGGGGGACUUGAGUGCAGAAGAGGAAAGCGGAAUUCCACGUGUAGCGGUGAAAUGCGUAGAGAUGUGGAGGAACACCAGUGGCGAAGGCGGCUUUCUGGUCUGUAACCGACGCUGAGGCGCGAAAGCGUGGGGAGCAAACAGG